UACGAAGGUGGCAAGCGUUGUUCGGAUUUACUGGGCGUACAGGGAGCGUAGGCGGUUGGGUAAGCCCUCCGUGAAUUCUCCGGGCCUAACCCGGAAAGGGCGGAGGGGACUGCUCGGCUAGAGGAUGGGAGAGGAGCGCGGAAUUCCCGGUGUAGCGGUGAAAUGCGUAGAGAUCGGGAGGACGGCCGGUGGCGAAGGCGGCGCUCUGGAACAUUUCUGACGCUGAGGCUAGAAAGCGUGGGGAGCAAACAGGAUUAGAUACCCUGGUAGUCCACGCAUUAAACGAUGGAUACUAAGUGUCGGCGGGUUACCGCCGGUGCCGCAGCUAACGCAUUAAGUAUCUCGCCUGGGAAGUACGGCCGCAAGGUUGAAACUUAAAUGAAUUGACGG
rnacentral:rRNA from 1 species